CAUUUACUCCCUCCGUUCGGAAUUACUCGUCCAAGAAAUGAAUGUAUCUAGAUGUAUUUUAGUUGUAGAUACAUCCAUUUUUGUGACAAGUAAUUCCGAACGGAGGGAGUAUAAU
rnacentral:pre_miRNA from 1 species